rnacentral:rRNA from 1 species
GAAUUCGAUUCAGGCCUAACACAUGCAAGUCGUACGAGAGUUUUUAACUCUAGUGGCGGACGGGUGAGUAACACGUGAGAAUUUGCCUUUAGGAGGGGGAUAACAAUUGGAAACAAAUGCUAAUACCCCAUAUGCUUUUGAGUGAAAUGGAUUUAUCCGCCUAGAGAGAAGCUCGCGGCUGAUUAGCUUGUUGGUAAGGUAAGAGCUUACCAAGGCGACGAUCAGUAUCUGGUUUGAGAGGAGGAUCAGACACACUGGAACUGAGACACGGUCCAGACUCCUACGGGAGGCAGCAGUGGGGAAUUUUCCGCUAUAGAGGAGAGCCUGACGGAGCAAUACCGC